ensembl:snoRNA SNORA72 Small nucleolar RNA SNORA72
UUGUGAAUAUUCUUACUGCUCUGAUUUUGUAAUAAUCAGGGCAGGCUAAACAUUUGAUAUAUUAAGACCAUGCAUAUGUCCCCAGACCUAGUUCUUUCCCUCCAUCUGGUUUUAUCAAUGCUGGUGAUAAAC